GAUGAAGAACGUAGCGAAAUGCGAUAAGUAAUGUGAAUUGCAGAAUUCAGUGAAUCAUCGAAUCUUUGAACGCACAUUGCGCCCGCCAGUAUUCUGGCGGGCAUGCCUGUCCGAGCGUCAUUUCAACCCUCGAACCCCUCCGGGGGUCCGGCGUUGGGGAUCGGGAACCCCUAAGACGGGAUCCCGGCCCCGAAAUACAGUGGCGGUCUCGCCGCAGCCUCUCAUGCGCAGUAGUUUGCACAACUCGCACCGGGAGCGCGGCGCGUCCACGUCCGUAAAACACCCAACUUCUGAAUGUUGACCUCGGAUCAGGUAGGAAUACCCGCUGAACUUAAGCAUAUCAAUAAGCGGAGGA
rnacentral:misc_RNA from 1 species